rnacentral:rRNA from 1 species
UACGAAGGGUGCAAGCGUUACUCGGAUUACUGGGCGUAAAGCGUGCGUAGGUGGUUUGUUAAGUCUGUUGUGAAAGCCCCGGGCUCAACCUGGGAAUGGCAAUGGAUACUGGCAAGCUAGAGUGCGGUAGAGGGUAGUGGAAUUCCCGGUGUAGCGGUGAAAUGCGUAGAGAUCGGGAGGAACACCAGUGGCGAAGGCGGCUCUGCGGACGUAGCUGAGG